AAACUUUCAACAACGGAUCUCUUGGUUCUGGCAUCGAUGAAGAACGCAGCGAAAUGCGAUAAGUAAUGUGAAUUGCAGAAUUCAGUGAAUCAUCGAAUCUUUGAACGCACAUUGCGCCCUCUGGUAUUCCGGAGGGCAUGCCUGUUCG
rnacentral:rRNA from 1 species